AGUGAACGCUGGCGGUAGGCCUAACACAUGCAAGUCGAACGGCAGCACAGUAAGAGCUUGCUCUUACGGGUGGCGAGUGGCGGACGGGUGAGGAAUACAUCGGAAUCUACUUUUUCGUGGGGGCUAACGUCGGGAAACUUACGCUAAUACCGCAUACGACCUACGGGUGAAAGCAGGGGAUCUUCGGACCUUGCGCGAUUGAAUGAGCCGAUGUCGGAUUAGCUAGUUGGCGGGGUAAAGGCCCACCAAGGCGACGAUCCGUAGCUGGUCUGAGAGGAUGAUCAGCCACACUGGACCUGAGACACGGUCCAGACUCCUACGGGAGGCAGCAGUGGGGAAUAUUGGACAAUGGGCGCAAGCCUGAUCCAGCCAUACCGCGUGGGUGAAGAAGGCCUUCGGGUUGUAAAGCCCUUUUGUUGGGAAAGAAAAGCAGCAGGUUAAUACCCCGCUGUUCUGACGGUACCCAAAGAAUAAGCACCGGCUAACUUCGUG
rnacentral:rRNA from 1 species